AUUGAACGCUGGCGGCAUGCCUUACACAUGCAAGUCGAACGGCAGCACGGGUGCUUGCACCUGGUGGCGAGUGGCGAACGGGUGAGUAAUACAUCGGAACAUGUCCUGUAGUGGGGGAUAGCCCGGCGAAAGCCGGAUUAAUACCGCAUACGAUCUACGGAUGAAAGCGGGGGACCUUCGGGCCUCGCGCUAUAGGGUUGGCCGAUGGCUGAUUAGCUAGUUGGUGGGGUAAAGGCCUACCAAGGCGACGAUCAGUAGCUGGUCUGAGAGGACGACCAGCCACACUGGGACUGAGUCACGGCCCAGACUCCUACGGGAGGCAGCAGUGGGGAAUUUUGGACAAAGGGCGAAAGCCUGAUCCAGCAAUGCCGCGUGUGUGAAGAAGGCCUUCGGGUUGUAAAGCACUUUUGUCCGGAAAGAAAUCCUUGGCCCUAAUACGGUCGGGGGAUGACGGUACCGGAAGAAUAAGCACCGGCUAACUACGUG
rnacentral:rRNA from 1 species